GAUUUCCUAACCUAAAUAAUCGUCAACUUUAAUGAUCAAUAUCUCGUUUCGCGGAGCAGACCGACGCUUAUUUCUGUCAGAUUUUUGUUUCGUGCAAAAACGUGUCCAUUGAGCUUAAAUUUUUCAAAAUCAGUGCUGAAUUAACUCUUCUAAACAAUUGUCCAAUAAUUUUAUAAAUUUCAUGUUCAUAUGUGAUGUACAUGCAUAACUUAAUGUGGAUAUUGCAACAAAUGUGAAAAAGAUGCUGCCAACAAUAUCGAAAGACUCUGAGAUUAAAGAUGGAGAAAGCAAGAAUUUAAUUAAAAUUGUAGAACGACCAACAUUCAUAUUGAAGACUAGAGAAGGAGAAAAUAGAGCUGUUUCUCCGAGUCAGCGUAAUGGCCAUAAAAAAGAUGCUGAUGUGUCUUCGGCAACGCCGGUGAAAGUACAAGAUAUUCACGCAAUUCGCACGCUUUCCAUGUGUCCCGAAAUGAGUACGAGCGUGAAAUUCAUGGAUGAAAAUAUGCAACUGUGUGAAAAUUCAAUAGAUUUUUUAUACGAUCAGCAGGAUUUUCUAGUUGUUGGUUGUCUAGGUGCUCAGGGUGUUGGUAAAUCAACGAUUAUGUCAUUAUUAACAUCACGUUACUCGUCUAAUAUUUUUCAAGUCCAGGAUUUGUCGCAUUACGAAAGUGGUACAAAUUGCACUACUGGAAUAGAUUUCUUUGUAACUAAAAACAGAGUGAUAUAUUUGGAUACGCAGCCAAUUUUUUCUGGAUUUGUGCUCGACUCGACAUCCUUUGAUCAGAAAAAGGGUACACCUGAUUUUGUGAAUAACGAUUCCAAUUUGGAAUUACAAUCGCUUCAAUUUACGGCAUUUCUGUUUUCCAUAUGCCAUGUUAUCAUAUGUGUACAAGAUUGGUUCGUCGAUCCUAAUUUAGUGAGAUUUUUACAAACUGCAGAAAUGUUAAAACCAUCUUCGACAACUGUCAUAGAUCAAGAUUACGUAGAAUAUUAUCCGCACAUUGUAUUUUUGCAUAAUAAAGCGGAAUUACAGGACUUUAUGCCUGUUGUUAUUGAUGAAAUGAAGGAUUUUUAUAAUAAAGUAUUUUCCAGUUCCCGACUGCAAACUCAAAGCGGUAUAGAUAUGAAUCAUUGUUCGACGGAGAAUGGUUUGAAUUUAUUUUUUAUACCAUCGAGGACUAAAGAAGAGGACAUGACUUUUUGUGAAAGUGAAGAAUCUCUUAUAGACCGAUUACGAACAAAGAUACAUGGAGUUUCUAGAAAUUCAAUUACACCUUCCGUAUUAACUGAAAAAAAUUGGUAUCAUUACGUUUCAAAAGUCAUAGAAGUGAUAAAGAAAAGUCAUCUUUCUUCUGAAUACGGAAGAUUAAUGCCUUAAAUCUGAAAGCUUAUAAGGAAGAAGGAUGUGAAAAGAAAUCAAGGAAUUGAUUUUUCACGAGUUCAAGAUGAGCUCUCUGGAUUCAUUUGCCACUCGCACGUGAGGCAGAAUCUCCUUGAUUAUUUUGUUAAUUGACGCACGAGGAAGAGUGAGCUCGUCAUCGUCGGUCGGUGACAUCGCAGCCGAGGCCAUUUGACUCCUAGAAUAUUAAAUAAACAGUAUUUAAAAUAACACAAAUUACAUUAUUGUGAAUAUAAGGUUCGUAACUUAUAAUAAAUUGUGUGCGUGCGUGCGUGUAAUUUUGUUAUUAAUAAAAAUAAAUCUGAUACUUGUACUUUUGUAUUAUGACCACGUUUGAGUCUUUUUUUAUUGACUAAAUUAAAGUUAAUAGAUAUAAA